ACAGGACCUGUCAGUCAGAGUGAGGAAGGAGCUUUUGCUGUACCAUGGCAGCAAGAGAUUCAACACAGUACACCAGCAGUCUACACAAAGCAGUCUGUUGCUGAGGAGCACAAUCAUUCAUCCCAGCAGUACUGAUGGAUUUGCUGUAGGAAAUGACAGUGGCAUGGAAAUAGAGCUAUAACAUGGAUCACCUGGUGAAGACACACCAAUAAGCAAGUGAACAAAAUCCAAUGAUGCAAAUGAAGAUUUCUGAUGUCAAAAUCACUCUGGGGCACAGCUCCACACCAGCCAAAGAUAACAGUGAACAUGGCUUUCUGGCCACCCUCUGCUCUUCCCCUUCUCCCAAAUAUUCAAAUAGCUACUCCAGGAGCAGAACAUGGUUAAUUUAGACUAAGACAUUUUAUCUUAAGCAUACAGGGUGUAUGAAAAAGGAUGGCAUAAACUUACAUGGCUGAAAGUACACGAUAAUAGAAGCACAAAUGUCCCGGUAAACACAGGUCUGCAAAUGAGCCGCUUGCAAGAUAAUCAUGCCCGUAUGGUUCCACGCCACCACUGAUGGCAUUGUUUGUAACAUUGUCUGGUUUCCCCCUUGUGCACUUGAGGCCGUACUAUGUUCGCUGCUUACACAACAGAACAUUGCCGAGAGGUGGAGUUGGAAUCACGCCAUACAUGCAGAACAUACAGGAUGGAUACAGUACACAGUCUCAAAGGGUAUCAGUCGCUUCUGAAGAGUGCCAAGUGUGCUAUGUUGUAGUUACAAUGGAACCAUAUAGUAAUGAAGAGUAUGCGGAUAUGCAUUUCAUGGACAGUAGGGCUUACGGCAAUGCACACAAGGCUGCAAGCUUGUACCAAGAAACAUAUCCUGAUCAAAGGCAUCCUGAAAGUCGUACAUUAACAAGGAUCCAUCAGCGCCUGAGAGCACAUGGAGUUUUUGCACAUGGAAGAGCAGGAGGUAGGCCUGCUUGCAUUGCACCUUAGGUUGAGGAUAUGGUGCUGGAAGCUCUCCUGGAGCUUCGACGAGAAGAAUACGGAGAAUUUUACUGUACCCUUACCACCUUCAAUGUCUGAAUGAUGUGGACUUUGUUGCUAGAGUGGUGUUUUGUCAGUGGCUGUAACAACAGGCUGUAGUCGACCCACGUUUCGCAUGUAACAUUUUAUUUACAGAUGAAGCAGGAUUCACACGCAAUGGUGUGUUUAACUAUCAUAUUACACAUUUGUCGAGUGAAAUAAACCCACAUGCUGUUCAUGAGUCACUUCUCACUGAGUGUGUGAUUAGGGGUACUAUGUGAUCAGCUCAUUGGGCCACACAUUCUUCCAUUACAACUUAAGGGACAGAGGUACCUUAGCUUUCAGCGGCAUCAUCUUCCAGGAUUGCUUGAGUAUGUUCCCCUUCAGCAACAUCAGAGUAUGUGGUACAUGCAUGAUGGAGCUCCAGCACAUUUUGCUGCUGGUGUGAGAAGGCAUCUAAUGUGCAGAUAAGGCCAAAGAUGGAUAGGUCGAGGCAGACUUGUACCUUGGCCUCCAAGAUCACCUGAUCUAAAUCCUUUGAAUUUUUGUGUCUGGGAUCACUUCAAAAGAAAAAUGUACAGGACACCCGUUAACACAGUUGAAGAACUGGAGCAGAGAGUUUUACAUGCUUGUCAAGAAUUCCAACAUUAUCCAAGGGUUUUCGAAAGGAUGUGAAAUUCAUUGCAGAGACGAGCACAGUAUUGCAUCCAGAUGCAAGGAAAACACUUCGAACACCACCUUUAACAGGUACCCCAUAUGUGAACUAAUUGUGAUGUACAAUCCAAUAGUAAAAUCUAAAUUUCAAAUUAAUGUGCACUAACUAGGACGAUGUUUACAAUGAUGUCAGUGGUGGCUUGGAAUCAUACAGUAAUGAUUAUCUUGCAAGCGGCUCGUUUGUGGACCCAUGUUUACUGGGUCAUUUGGGCUUCUAUUAUCGUGUACUUUCAGCUCUGUAAGUUUGCGCCAUCUUUUUUGACACACCCUGUUUAUCUGUAUGCAUAAAUGCCUGAUACUGAACAAAACAUGCGCAAAAUGCAUUACAAUGGGUUAAAUGAAACAUAAAAUAAAUAAAUGUGACA